CCCCAAUCCUUACCUAAAUUGUUUGGCAACGGUUCUAUUAUUCUUAAAAGCCAUGGAAGUGGUGUUUAACAUUGGAAAGGUGGUGUGGUACUGCUUUCCUUGUUGCAGGAAAAGCCGAAACUCAAAGGGAUUUGCUGGAACUUUGGGAAGGGCCUUGAGAAAACCAGUCUCUGGAUGGCAAGGAAUCUGGGCCAACUUUGGUAAACUGGUAGGGCGCGUGACACCUCCCAUUAGUUGGGAUUUCACACCAGAGCAGGUGUUUGAUCCUGAUGAGGUGGCACGUCGUUUGGCAGAAGGGUGUUUUUCUUACGAGGACCCAAAUACGCAGUUUUUUGCUUUGUACUGGGGCCUGGCGAGUGCCUAUCGAGCUGCUGUAGAUUAUGCUCGGAAGGCUAAGGCUGAGGCAGAAACUCAAACCCUGCCACCUGAGACCAGCGCCACCUCUACUACAUGCACUGAAAGCGGAACCCAGACUACACCACCUGAGAUACCUUUCACCCCUGUAGUGAAAAGGAAGUCGUGGGUAUCGGCGCCUGAAACUUUAAGCCUACAACCAGAUGGAGAGCAAAACAAGUCAGAAGAUAAUGGAGAGGGGACUGAUACUGAUACCAGUGCCAGAACUCCACCUCCACGAGUAGUACCACCCCCGAAAGUGGAAACUACAAUUUUGCAGUCAAUGACCCCAGCAGAACUCCGGGACUUACAAAGAGACUACACGCGUCGGCCUGGUGAGCGAAUUCUAGCGUGGUUGCUCCGAUGCCGAGACCGUGGGGCUAGAGGUCACAUAUUGUCAACUGCUGAAGCAGAACAACUAGCUUCCAUCUCCGGAGACCGUGAACUUGAUCACUUAAUUGCAGAGGAGAGACCAGACCUCAGUCUUUGGGCGCGACUUGUCUUAAGCGUGAGACAAAGGUUUCCAUUUAAAGACUAUUUACCAUGCCCCAUGAGGAAGUGGACCAAGAUAGAAGACGCCAUCCAGUACCUAAGAGAAUUGGCAUUGUUGGAAGGUAUGUAUGAUGACGCUCAAUACGAUCCCGUCACUGAUGACCCAGAGAGUGUCACUUGCACAAUGCCCAUGUGGAAGAAGAUAAUCCAGGGUGCUCCUGCAUCAUAUGUUCAUACCUUGGUAGGAAUAAUG
rnacentral:lncRNA from 1 species